CUCCAGGUACCCCAUGCUGAUGCCCAGCCACACCCUCUCUGGGGGACUGGACAGGCGGUUCUGACUCAGUCCCCCCGAACCUCUUUGGAAUCAUGUAGGACCGGUUCCCCAAAAGGAUGCUGUGGGCCUGGUCUGCACAGACAGGAGAAGCAGCUCUGCCUGGAAGGAUCCAGAAGCUCCUGAAAAUAGAUGCCUGGCAGGACGAGGCUACCCGAAAUUACACUCUUGGCAAUAGCAGGGACCUGGCUAGACCCCUGCUCCGCUCCCCUGCUGUGUGACUCCAGCAAGGGCCUCGACCUCUCUGAGUCUCCACUUCUCCAUUGCUAUUGUGAUAAAAUGAUGGGGGAUAAAAUUAUUGGGAUAAAAAAAUGUUGGCAUGGGCAGCUGGGGCAGGAGCUGGGAACACCAUCACCCCUGCUCUUCGGUGUUGCCCAGGGCUGGGCAGCUGGAGCCAAGUGCUCCUGGUGGCAUGUGGAGCCGCCCAGACGACCCCACUCCCACUGCCUACUAGGGACACAACAGGGGCUCCCACAUGGGCCUGUACACCACCCCAGUCAGCCAGUCCUCAGCACUUCUCUCUCAUCUGCCCUUUCUUGGGACCUGGGACCUGAUCCUUCUUGCCUGGACUUCUAGAGCCACUUCCUGACCAUCCACCUCCACGGAGCCUCCCUUAGACAUCUUUCUGCCUCAAACGAGCGUCACCUCCUCCAGGAAGCCUUCCCAGCAACCUACCCCCACCUGACUUGGAGGCAAAUCCCUGACAUGAAGCAGUCACCACCCAUGGUCACUGGACACUGACCUACCCAGAUAUUUGUUGAAUGCAUGAGCAUAAAUGAAUGACAUUUGUG